CUCAACGCGGAGAGGUCGUUCAAUACUGCCGAUCUAGAGGGUGUCAGAGGGGAGUGGAAUUUCCGGAGUAGCGGUAAAAUGCGCAGAGAUCGGAAAGAACACCAAUGGCGAAAGCAGCUCCCUGGGGCAUACCUGACGCUAAGAGACGAAAGCUAGGGGAGCGAACAGGAUUAGAGACCCUGGUAGUCCUAGCCCUAAACGAUGGAUGCUGGAUGUGGGACCAUAGAGUUCCGUGUCGAAGCUAACGCGUUAAGCAUCCCGCCUGGGGACUACGGCCGCAAGGUUAAAACUCAAACGAAUUGACGGGACCCCGCACAAGCAGCGGAGCGUGUGGUUUAAUUCGAUGCUACACGAAGAACCUUACCUGGGUUUGACAUAUAGGUGGUAGUGAAGUGAAAGCGGAACGACCCUUCGGGGAGCC
rnacentral:rRNA from 1 species